AGCGAACGCUGGCGGCAUGCCUAACACAUGCAAGUCGAACGAGAGCUUCGGGGCUUGUGGCGCACGGGUACGUAACGCGUGGGAACCUGCCCUUAGGUUCGGAAUAACUCCCCGAAAGGGGUGCUAAUACCGGAUAAUGUAUUCGGACCAAAGAUUUAUCGCCUUUGGAUGGGCCCGCGUUGGAUUAGCUAGUUGGUAGGGUAAAAGGCUAUUAAGGCGACAAUCGAUAGCUGGUCUGAGAGAAUGAUCAGCCACACUGGGACUGGGACACGGCCCAGACUCCUGCGGGAGGCAGCAGUGGGGGAUAUUGGACAAUGGGCGAUAGCAUGAACCAGCAAUGCCGGGUGAGUGAUGAAGGCCUUAGAGUUGUAAAGCGCUUUUACCCGGGAGGAUAAUGACAGUACCGGGAGAAUAAGCACCGGCUAACUCCGUG
rnacentral:rRNA from 1 species